rfam:Gossypium raimondii Chr05_contig_15, whole genome shotgun sequence.
UGUUAAAAAGUUCAUCCAUUUUUACUGUUAAAAACUAAUAUGGCUGACGGAAUAAUGUUGCUUACACAUGGAAUGUCAUGUACGCCCAUUCUAACUUACAAUUACCAGUUUUUAACAAUAGAAAUGGAUGAAAUUUUUAACA